AGUGAACGCUGGCGGUAGGCCUAACACAUGCAAGUCGAACGGCAGCACAGUAAGAGCUUGCUCUUACGGGUGGCGAGUGGCGGACGGGUGAGGAAUACAUCGGAAUCUACUUUUUCGUGGGGGAUAACGUAGGGAAACUUACGCUAAUACCGCAUACGACCUACGGGUGAAAGCAGGGGAUCUUCGGACCUUGCGCGAUUGAAUGAGCCGAUGUCGGAUUAGCUAGUUGGCGGGGUAAAGGCCCACCAAGGCGACGAUCCGUAGCUGGUCUGAGAGGAUGAUAACCCACACUGGAACUGAGACACGGUCCAGACUCCUACGGGAGGCAGCAGUGGGGAAUAUUAGACAAAGGGCGCAAGCCUGAUCCAGCCAUACCGCGUGGGUGAAGAAGGCCUUCGGGCUGUAAAGCCCUUUUGUUGGGAAAGAAAAGCAGCAGGUUAAUACCCCGCUGUUCUGACGGUACCCAAAGAAUAAGCACCGGCUAACUUCGUG
rnacentral:rRNA from 1 species